UUAAGCGACUAAGCGUACACGGUGGAUGCCCUGGCAGUCAGAGGCGAUGAAGGACGUGCUAAUCUGCGAAAAGCGUCGGUAAGGUGAUAUGAACCGUUAUAACCGGCGAUGUCCGAAUGGGGAAACCCAGUGCAAUUCGUUGCACUAUCGUUAACUGAAUACAUAGGUUAACGAGGCGAACCGGGGGAACUGAAACAUCUAAGUACCCCGAGGAAAAGAAAUCAACCGAGAUUCCCCCAGUAGCGGCGAGCGAACGGGGAGCAGCCCAGAGUCUGAAUCAGCUUGUGUGUUAGUGGAACGGUCUGGAAAGUCCGACGGUACAGGGUGAUAGUCCCGUACACCAAAAUGCACAGGCUGUGAACUCGAAGAGUAGGGCGGGACACGUGGUAUCCUGUCUGAAUAUGGGGGGACCAUCCUCCAAGGCUAAAUACUCCUGACUGACCGAUAGUGAACCAGUACCGUGAGGGAAAGGCGAAAAGAACCCCGGCGAGGGGAGUGAAAAAGAACCUGAAACCGUGUACGUACAAGCAGUGGGAGCACCUUCGUGGUGUGACUGCGUACCUUUUGUAUAAUGGGUCAGCGACUUAUAUUCUGUAGCAAGGUUAACCGUAUAGGGGAGCCGCAGGGAAACCGAGUCUUAACUGGGCGUUAAGUUGCAGGGUAUAGACCCGAAACCCGGUGAUCUAGCCAUGGGCAGGUUGAAGGUUGGGUAACACUAACUGGAGGACCGAACCGACUAAUGUUGAAAAAUUAGCGGAUGACUUGUGGCUGGGGGUGAAAGGCCAAUCAAACCGGGAGAUAGCUGGUUCUCCCCGAAAGCUAUUUAGGUAGCGCCUCGUGAACUCAUCUUCGGGGGUAGAGCACUGUUUCGGCUAGGGGGUCAUCCCGACUUACCAACCCGAUGCAAACUACGAAUACCGAAGAAUGUUAUCACGGGAGACACACGGCGGGUGCUAACGUCCGUCGUGAAGAGGGAAACAACCCAGACCGCCAGCUAAGGUCCCAAAGUCAUGGUUAAGUGGGAAACGAUGUGGGAAGGCACAGACAGCCAGGAUGUUGGCUUAGAAGCAGCCAUCAUUUAAAGAAAGCGUAAUAGCUCACUGGUCGAGUCGGCCUGCGCGGAAGAUGUAACGGGGCUAAACCAUGCACCGAAGCUGCGGCAGCGACACGAUGUGUUGUUGGGUAGGGGAGCGUUCUGUAAGCCUGCGAAGGUGACCUGUGAGGGUUGCUGGAGGUAUCAGAAGUGCGAAUGCUGACAUAAGUAACGAUAAAGCGGGUGAAAAGCCCGCUCGCCGGAAGACCAAGGGUUCCUGUCCAACGUUAAUCGGGGCAGGGUGAGUCGACCCCUAAGGCGAGGCCGAAAGGCGUAGUCGAUGGGAAACAGGUUAAUAUUCCUGUACUUGGUGUUACUGCGAAGGGGGGACGGAGAAGGCUAUGUUAGCCGGGCGACGGUUGUCCCGGUUUAAGCAUGUAGGCUGGUUAUCCAGGCAAAUCCGGAUAAUCAAGGCUGAGGUGUGAUGACGAGGCACUACGGUGCUGAAGUAACAAAUGCCCUGCUUCCAGGAAAAGCCUCUAAGCAUCAGGUAACAUCAAAUCGUACCCCAAACCGACACAGGUGGUCAGGUAGAGAAUACCAAGGCGCUUGAGAGAACUCGGGUGAAGGAACUAGGCAAAAUGGUGCCGUAACUUCGGGAGAAGGCACGCUGGUGUGUAGGUGAAGUCCCUGCGGAUGGAGCUGAGACCAGUCGAAGAUACCAGCUGGCUGCAACUGUUUAUUAAAAACACAGCACUGUGCAAACACGAAAGUGGACGUAUACGGUGUGACGCCUGCCCGGUGCCGGAAGGUUAAUUGAUGGGGUUAUCCGUAAGGAGAAGCUCUUGAUCGAAGCCCCGGUAAACGGCGGCCGUAACUAUAACGGUCCUAAGGUAGCGAAAUUCCUUGUCGGGUAAGUUCCGACCUGCACGAAUGGCGUAAUGAUGGCCAGGCUGUCUCCACCCGAGACUCAGUGAAAUUGAACUCGCUGUGAAGAUGCAGUGUACCCGCGGCAAGACGGAAAGACCCCGUGAACCUUUACUAUAGCUUGACACUGAACAUUGAGCCUUGAUGUGUAGGAUAGGUGGGAGGCUUUGAAGCGUGGACGCCAGUCUGCGUGGAGCCAACCUUGAAAUACCACCCUUUAAUGUUUGAUGUUCUAACGUUGGCCCCUGACCGGGGUUGCGGACAGUGUCUGGUGGGUAGUUUGACUGGGGCGGUCUCCUCCCAAAGCGUAACGGAGGAGCACGAAGGUUAGCUAAUCCUGGUCGGACAUCAGGAGGUUAGUGCAAUGGCAUAAGCUAGCUUGACUGCGAGCGUGACGGCGCGAGCAGGUGCGAAAGCAGGUCAUAGUGAUCCGGUGGUUCUGAAUGGAAGGGCCAUCGCUCAACGGAUAAAAGGUACUCCGGGGAUAACAGGCUGAUACCGCCCAAGAGUUCAUAUCGACGGCGGUGUUUGGCACCUCGAUGUCGGCUCAUCACAUCCUGGGGCUGAAGUAGGUCCCAAGGGUAUGGCUGUUCGCCAUUUAAAGUGGUACGCGAGCUGGGUUUAGAACGUCGUGAGACAGUUCGGUCCCUAUCUGCCGUGGGCGCUGGAGAAUUGAGGGGGGCUGCUCCUAGUACGAGAGGACCGGAGUGGACGCAUCACUGGUGUUCAGGUUGUCAUGCCAAUGGCACUGCCCGGUAGCUAAAUGCGGAAGAGAUAAGUGCUGAAAGCAUCUAAGCACGAAACUUGCCCCGAGAUGAGUUCUCCCUGAGACUUUAAGUCUCCUGAAGGAACGUUGAAGACGACGACGUUGAUAGGCCGGGUGUGUAAGCGCAGCGAUGCGUUGAGCUAACCGGUACUAAUGAACCGUGAGGCUUAACCU
rnacentral:rRNA from 1 species